rnacentral:rRNA from 1 species
AGGGUUUGAUCAUGGCUCAGAUUGAACGCUGGCGGCAUGCUUUACACAUGCAAGUCGAACGGUAACAGGCCGCAAGGUGCUGACGAGUGGCGAACGGGUGAGUAAUGCAUCGGAACGUGCCCAGUCGUGGGGGAUAACGCAGCGAAAGCUGUGCUAAUACCGCAUACGAUCUAUGGAUGAAAGCGGGGGACCGUAAGGCCUCGCGCGAUUGGAGCGGCCGAUGUCAGAUUAGCUAGUUGGUGGGGUAAAGGCCCACCAAGGCGACGAUCUGUAGCUGGUCUGAGAGGACGACCAGCCACACUGGGACUGAGACACGGCCCAGACUCCUACGGGAGGCAGCAGUGGGGAAUUUUGGACAAUGGGCGCAAGCCUGAUCCAGCAAUGCCGCGUGCAGGAAGAAGGCCUUCGGGUUGUAAACUGCUUUUGUACGGAACGAAACGGUCUGGGUUAAUACCCUGGGCUAAUGACGGUACCGUAAGAAUAAGCACCGGCUAACUACGUGCCAGCAGCCGCGGUAAUACGUAGGGUGCAAGCGUUAAUCGGAAUUACUGGGCGUAAAGC